ACGUAGGGUGCAAGCGUUAAUCGGAAUUACUGGGCGUAAAGCGUGCGCAGGCGGUUGUGCAAGACCGAUGUGAAAUCCCCGGGCUUAACCUGGGAAUGGCAUUGGUGACUGCACGGCUAGAGUACGGUAGAGGGGGAUGGAAUUCCGCGUGUAGCAGUGAAAUGCGUAGAUAUGCGGAGGAACACCGAUGGCGAAGGCAAUCCCCUGGACCUGUACUGACGCUCAUGCACGAAAGCGUGGGGAGCAAACAGGA
rnacentral:rRNA from 1 species